rnacentral:rRNA from 1 species
UAAGCGAGUAGUGAAAUCUGGUGGCUCAACCAUCAACACAUUAUUCGAACUGGGCUGCUCGAGAGUGGUAGAGGUAGCUGGAAUUGCUAGUGUAGGAGUGAAAUCCGUAGAUAUUAGCAGGAACACCAAUGGCGUAGGCAGGCUACUGGACCAUUUCUGACACUAAGGCACGAAAGCGUGGGAGCGAACCGGAUUAGAUACCCGGGUAGUCCACGCCGUAAACUAUGGAUGCUA